AACGAACGCUGGCGGCAGGCCUAACACAUGCAAGUCGAACGCUCGUAGCAAUACGAGAGUGGCAGACGGGUGAGUAACACGUGGGAACCUUCCCUAUGGUUCGGAAUAGCCCAGGGAAACUUGGGGUAAUACCGGAUAAGCCCUUCGGGGAAAGAUUUAUCGCCAUUGGAUGGGCCCGCGUCGGAUUAGCUAGUUGGUGGGGUAACGGCCUACCAAGGCGACGAUCCGUAGCUGGUCUGAGAGGANGAUCAGCCACACUGGGACUGAGACACGGCCCAGACUCCUACGGGAGGCAGCAGUGGGGAAUAUUGGACAAUGGGCGCAAGCCUGAUCCAGCCAUGCCGC
rnacentral:rRNA from 1 species